rnacentral:snRNA from 1 species
AAUCCUCUACCUAUUGGCUAAAAACAAAUAUAGUUAUUAUCUGUUCUUAUCAGUUAAAGCAUCAGUUAAUGUGUUUCUUAUCUGUGUACAGGGCACUCAAUUAAUAUUUACAGUAUUAAUACUGGGAGAUGGAUUGGGAGCUUGCUCUAUCCACUCCAUGCCUCAGCAUAGAAUUGCAGUGUUUUCAGGAAUGGUGCAUUCCUU